rnacentral:rRNA from 1 species
GAUGAACGCUGGCGGCGUGCUUAACACAUGCAAGUCGAACGAAGUGUUUAUUCAAAGUUCUUCGGGAUAGAGAAUAAAUUCCUUAGUGGCGGACGGGUGAGUAACGCGUGGGUAACCUGCCUCACACAGGGGGACAACAGUUGGAAACGACUGCUAAUACCGCAUAAGACCACAGCACCGCAUGGUGCAGGGGUAAAAGAUUUAUCGGUGUGAGAUGGACCGGCGUCUGAUUAGAUAGUUGGUGGGGUAGAAGCCUACCAAGUGAACGACCAGUAGCCGACCUGAGAAGGUGAUCGGCCACAUUGGGACUGAGGCACGGCCCGAACUCCUACGGGAGGCAGCGGAAGGGAAUAUUGGACAAUGGGGGAAACCCUGAUCCAGCAACGCCGCGUGAGUGAAGAAGUAUUUCGGUAAGUAAAGCUCUAUCAGCAGAGAAGAAAAUGACGGUACCUGACUAAGAAGCCCCGGCUAACUACGUG